rnacentral:rRNA from 1 species
ACGAGCGCAACCCUUGUCCUUAGUUACCAGCACCUCGGGUGGGCACUCUAAGGAGACUGCCGGUGACAAACCGGAGGAAGGUGGGGAUGACGUCAAGUCAUCAUGGCCCUUACGGCCAGGGCUACACACGUGCUACAAUGGUCGGUACAAAGGGUUGCCAAGCCGCGAGGUGGAGCUAAUCCCAUAAAACCGAUCGUAGUCCGGAUCGCAGUCUGCAACUCGACUGCGUGAAGUCGGAAUCGCUAGUAAUCGUGAAUCAGAAUGUCACGGUGAAUACGUUCCCGGG